AACUGAUACUACCUGCGGGAACCUGCGGAGGGAUCAUUAUCGAGUGUGAACCCCCCCCGUAAAAAGGGGGAGUUUCCUCCCGUCCUUUGCUGGGAACCCCCCUUUCAUUGGAAGGGGGGUUGCUUUCAGACCCUUUCUGCUUUGGUGGGGUUACCUGCCGAAACAACCUCAAAAAUUCUAAGUCAAAACUGUUCAGUCCGAGAAAACUUUGAAAAAGCGAAAAACUUUUAACAACGGAUC
rnacentral:misc_RNA from 1 species